AUCCCAAAGUCAAACCUCUGCAGUCGCAAUGACCACCUCGCAAGACGUCCGUUUAGAUCCUUCAAUGACAUGAGCCAUUUCAGGCUGGCGUGAUCCGUAAUAACCGUGAAGGGCAUCAAUUCAACAAUAAUUUAGCUGAUGCUUGUUUAACUUGGCGGAGAA